CAGGAACACAGCCAGACACAGGCAGCCCACAGACACCACAUCAGAUCCACUUCAGCCGCCACCCAGGCAGUAUCAUCAGUGAAAAUAAUCCUGUUCCAUAAAUGGGCAGGCACCCGGAGGAAUCGAUCAUGGCCUUGUUUGACAUUCUGUUAAAUCACAAGUACAUCUGCUUUUGAGGUGUAGCAGAAAUUAAAAUUAACCAUUAAUAGUGUCCAGCAAAUGUCAUCAACAACCACUAACAUGAAACAAAUCGAAGAGUCAGUCCCAUCACAGGAAGCAAAGUAGCUGACACCACAUUGCCAAAGGCUUGGCAUUUCCUCUAUUAAAACAAACAUUUUUUUUCUGCAGUGACCCUUCUGUGUUUUAUAUUCAGAGGUUCCAUACUGUGACUAAAGAAGAUUAUGCAGCAUUCCAGUAUUGCUUCCUGAAAGAAAUGUAAUUAAGAUAAAUUAGUUGAGUUUAAUAUAAUAGCGGUUGAGUUAAAAUGAAGGGUGCAGAACACAUUUUUCAGCAACAAUGCGCAUACAAUGCCUGAAAAAUAACAUUUGAUGUUCAAUAUUUUGCUGUUAAUAGUACUUUAAUAAUCU